rnacentral:rRNA from 1 species
UACAGAGGUCUCAAGCGUUGUUCGGAUUCAUUGGGCGUAAAGGGUGCGUAGGUGGCGUGGUAAGUCGGGUGUGAAAUUUCGGAGCUUAACUCCGAAACUGCAUUCGAUACUGCCGUGCUUGAGGACUGGAGAGGAGACUGGAAUUUACGGUGUAGCGGUGAAAUGCGUAGAUAUCGUAAGGAAGACCAGUGGCGAAGGCGGGUCUCUGGACAGUUCCUGACACUGAGGCACGAAGGCCAGGGGAGCAAACGGG